UACGUAGGGUGCGAGCGUUAAUCGGAUUUACUGGGCGUAAAGCGUGCGCAGGCGGCCCGUUAAGACAGGUGUGAAAUCCCUGGGCUCAACCUAGGAAUUGCGCUUGUGACUGGCGGGCUCGAGUACGGUAGAGGGGGGUGGAAUUCCUGGUGUAGCAGUGAAAUGCGUAGAGAUCAGGAGGAACACCGAUGGCGAAGGUAGCCCCCUGGGCCUGUACUGACGCUCAUGCACGAAAGCGUGGGGAGCAAACAGG
rnacentral:rRNA from 1 species